rnacentral:lncRNA from 1 species
ACGAUACUAGUCCCUUCUUCAAGAUACAUUAGUCAAAUAGUCAGAUCCUAGUCUCAGAGAAUUCAUAGUCUCAGAACAAACAAAACGUAUGGUCACUACUUACAUAACAUAAUAAUCAUUCAACCAUGAUUUUACAAGAUGAUAUUUAUGAUUAAACUCUUGGGUCUGACCCAUGCUGCACUUUCUCAAUAGCUCCUUUUUCAAGAUGCCGAGACGAUCGGACACACGAGAUGGCCGACAGAUCGAAGGCAUGUCAACAAAUCCAGCCACUUGCAUGCCACUUGCAUCCAAUAUACGCCCGCGACACCCAAACAAUCGAAGGCGCAAAGAAACGUCCACCAAAUUGAAGACACAACAUCAACACCAUCAACCUCAGGUAAUAUCCACAUGCAAUUCCUCACAUGUGUGUCAGCAUUUUGAUCUCAGCUCAACCUUCCUUCUAAUAUUCUAUGUCAAAACUCUUCUGAUACUAAAUUAUAAACCAUGUUUUUAAUGCAUCCUGACACUACCAUGACACCUAUUGAACAAUUAUUGAUUUAUAGUGCCAUCAUACCAGAUAAAUGUACUGUAUGUGACACCUUAUUAGUCUCUUCAUCAUAUCUCCAAAUGCACUUUCAUGUCUGCAAUGGCAAAACAUUAUUAAGUACUCCCUCUGUAACUUAAUAUAAGACGUUUUUUGAUAGUGUCAAAAAAACGUCUCAUUAAGUUAUGGAGGGAGUACAAUAUAAAUCAUAGUACAUGAUACUAUAUUAAGAAAACUCUAUACGUCACUGAGAAAAUCACAUUUGCAGAGAUGACAGUCCAGCAUACGUCAGCCCCAGCAGCUCAUCAUACAAAAAGAAAGGAAGAACAACCUCUAAACUCAAAGAGCACAAAGCGGACAAGGACUGGAGAGGGAAGAAGAAAUACGAACACAGAGGCUCCUAAACGAUUGAGAAAGGAUAGUGCUGAAGAAGAUAAGGAAUUGAAGUGUGCAAGAAGCGGAAGCAACAAAAACAACAUUAGGAUCAAUGUUGGAGACAACAACAGAACAAAUUCAAACAAAGGCAUGGAACUUCGGAAGGUAUGGAACUUCGGAAGGCCAACAUACAAAUGCCAGUAUUGCAAAGCAUUGCUAUGGUGUGAAGAAAGAUUAAAUUCAAACAAAGGAACAAAGACACCCUCUUUUGGAAUAUGCUGCAAACAGGGAAAAAUCGAUCUGCCACCACUAAGAGAGCCUCCACCAUACCUCAGAAACCUCUUAAGAAGUGAAGGACAGGAUUCAGUGAACUUCAAAGAAAAUAUAAGGUCAUACAACUCAAUGUUUUCAUUCACAUCCAUGGGAGGAGUUGUGGACAAGGAAAUAAACACUCGCAAAGGACCUUAUGUUUUUCGUUUGCAUGGACAGAACUACCACCACAUCGGAACUCUUUUACCUGAAGGUACAAACAAACCUCGGUUUGCACAGCUGUACAUCUAUAAUACCGAAAAUGAGGUGGCAAACAGGAUAAGUGCGUCAAGAUGCAAUGAUAAUAAAUCAACAGUGGACCCCAACAUUGUCAAAGAAUUGCAAAUAAUGCUCGACGACAACAACAUCCUCGCAAAAACAUUCAGAAUGGCAAGAGAUAGAUUCCAAGAAGGAGACUACCAUGAUUACACACUUCGGAUACUAGGAAAAAGGAACGGAACACACAACCUUCCAUCCGCAUCUGAAGUUGCAGCAUUGGUAGUAAGAGAUCCAACUGGAGAGAGUGAAGGACGUGACAUUGUUGUUGAGUACAAAAAUAUGGUGCCACAAAGGAUAUCAGAGAUCCACCCGAAAUUCAUGUCCAUGCAAUAUCCGUUGUUGUUCCCAUAUGGAGAAGAUGGUUUUAAACUCGAGAUACCGUACAAGAAAACAAAAGGAGCUAAAAACAGCAGGAAAUACGUAACGUUGUUGGACUACUAUGCAUUCUACCUACAGCAACGUCCAGACCAAGGAAUGUUAUUGCUCAAGUCUGGGCAUCUGUCACUGCAAUUUUGGGUGGAUGUAUACACAUGUAUCGAGCAAAAUAGACUAAACUGGAUCCGACACAAUCAAGGAAAGCUAAGAACUGAACUUUACAGUGGAUUGCAGCAUGCAAUUAAGCGAGGGGACACAAGAACAGAGCAGGUUGGAAAGAGGAUAAUUGUGCCUUCAUCUUUUACAGGUGGUAGAAGAAACAAGGCACAAUACUUGCAAGAUGCAUUCGCAAUAUGUCGUUGGGCUGGAUACCCAGACCUGUUUAUAACAUUCACAUGCAAUGCAAAGUGGCCUGAGAUCCAAUACAUGCUAGAUGAAGCGGGAGGUGACCAAAAGCCAGCCGAUCGGCCAGAUAUUUUGGACAGAGUAUUUAUGAUAAAACUAAAGGAGCUAACGAGAGACAUAAAAGAAAAGAAAUACUUUGGAGAAACACUUGCAAGUAAGUUCCAUCGACUAUCAAUAUUUACUCUUUCAUGCGUCAUCUUAUAGUCAGACAGAUUCUUACCCUUUAGUAAGAUGCAUUUCAAUUUUACCUAAAGUUAACAAACUAUUAUUAACCAACUGCAGUUAUCUACACAAUAGAAUUCCAGAGGAGAGGACUCCCGCAUGCCCACAUACUAAUAUUUCUGAAGGACAAAGACAAGUACCCAGAACCAUCGCAGAUCGAUAAAAUAAUAAGCGCUGAGAUCCCAAACAAGGACGAGGAUCCUGAGGCAUUUGGAGCUGUCGAGAACUUCAUGAUGCAUCGCCCAUGUGGAGAGGCUAAGCAAAACUCACCAUGCAUGGUGGGCCAUAGAUGCAGCAAGCAUUUCCCAAAAAGAUACAAUGUUAGUACUACCAUCGAUGAGGACGGGUUUCCAGUAUAUAAAAGGAAGGACGACGGAAGGCAAAUCAAAAAGGGAGUAGUCAUGCUCGACAACAGAUUUGUCGUGCCAUACAACCGAAAUCUUCUGGUCAAAUUUCAAGCUCACAUAAAUGUCAAAUGGUGCAAUAGGUCUAGAUCAAUCAAGUACCUAUAUAAGUAUAUCGACAAAGACGACGAUCAAGUUACAACCUUGCUCAAGGAAAGGCUCGCAGCAAAUAAAACUGACGAGAUCAAGAAAUACCUAGAGAUGAGAUACAUAUCAACAUCAGAAGCAUGCUGGAGGAUAUUCCAGUUUGAUCUUCACUAUCGUGAUCCAGCCGUUGAGAGGCUACCUUUCCAUCUUGAAAAUGAGCAGCAAGUGAUUUUUCCUGACUCGACUGAUCUUGACAAGAUAGUUACAAGGGAAGGAUCUAAAAGUACCAAGUUCACUCAAUGGAUGGAGGCAAAUAAAAUAUAUGAGCUAGGGAAAGAAUUAACGUAUGCAGAAUUCCCUACAAAAUUUGUAUGGAAACGUGAAACAAAAUGUUGGCAGAAGCGAAAAAGGGACUAUGCAAUUGGAAGAAUCUACUAUGCACAUCCUGCAAGUGGUGAGCGACAUUAUCUGAGGAUGCUUCUAAACACCAAGAAAGGAUGCACAUCAUUUGAGGACAUUAGGACCAUUGAUGGAGUCCCUCACCCAACGUACAAAUCAGCAUGCCAAGCCCUUGGAUUUCUGGAUGAUGACACUGAGUGGAUUGACUGUAUCAAUGAAGCAUCAAGUUGGGCAUCUGGAGCACAACUGCGUCAGUUAUUCACCACCAUAUUGUCCCAUUGCGAAGUCACAAACCCAAAGAUAUUGUGGGAUUCAACAUGGGAGGCAUUGUGUGAAGAUAUGCAAUACAAAAGAAGGAUUAUUCUAAACAUUCCAACGCUUCAGCUCACCAACACACAGAAACAAGCGUAUGGUCUGAUUGAGAUAGAAAAACUGAUGAGGCAAGUAGGAAAGUCAUUAAAGGAAUAUACAGAGAUAGAGCUACCAAAUGCUGCAGAGCUAGAUGAACUUGGGAACAGACUAAUAAACGAAGAGGUCAACUACGACAUGGAGAAACUCAAGGAUGAGCACAAAACCAUACUAAACAAUCUUAACCAAGACCAGAAGAAAGCCUUCGAUAAAAUAAUGGAAUCCGUCAACAAAGGGCUAGGAAAGCAGAUAUUUGUCGAAGGCUACAGUGGCACAGGAAAAACCUAUCUAUGGAAAGCACUAACGACGAAGCUAAGAUCAGAGGGAAAGAUAGUGCUUGCGGUGGCAUCAUGUGGCAUUGCAGCGUUGCUUCUCCAAGGUGGAAGAACAGCACACUCAAGGUUCCGCAUUCCACUUAAUAUAACUGAAGAAUCAACGUGUGAAAUAAAACAAGGCUCACAUUUGGCUGAACUACUAAAGAAGACCUCACUUAUAUUGUGGGACGGAGCUCCUAUGGCAAACAAACACUGCUUCGAGGCACUAGACAAAAGCCUUAGAGAUAUUCUCAGGUUCACUAACGAAAACAGCGACGAAAAGCCAUUUGGUGGAAUGACAAUUAUACUAGGAGGCGACUUCAGACAAAUCCUACCAGUUAUAACCAAAGGAAGGAGAGAACAAAUAGUUAAUGCUACAAUCAAAAGGUCAUAUCUGUGGAAACACUUCGAAAUAUUUGAGUUAACACAAAACAUGCGGCUGAAGUGUUUGUCAGAUGAUCCAAUACAAAAGCAAAAGGUCGCUGAAUUUGCAGAGUGGAUACUACAAAUUGGCGAUGGGAAAACAGCAUCAGAUGAAGGAGAGGAUUGGAUAAAAAUACCAAAGGACCUACUGCUACAGAAAGGAGAAAAUCUAAAGAACUAAUCGUCGAAAGCAUAUAUCCAAACUUGCUGCAAAAAUACCGUGAGCGGGAUUACCUAGAAGAAAGAGCAAUACUCUGUCCAAGAAAUGAUACAGUCAAGGAGAUAAACGACCACAUCAUGAGCCAAAUACAAGGUGAUGAGGUGACAUACCUAAGCCUGGACACCGUGUGCAAGGCAACGACAAACACCAAUAUCAUGAUGAACAUGCAGCCUACUGAAUUCCUAAACACCUUGACGUCCCCAGGAAUCCCAGACCAUGAGCUAAAACUCAAAGUGGGUUUGCCGGUCAUGCUCCUGCGCAACAUCAACCAAGCAGCAGGUUUAUGCAACGGUACAAGAAUGACAAUAACACAACUUGGAAACAAAUACAUCGAGACACAAAUAAUCACAGGAACACACAUCGGUGACAAGGUAUACGUACCUCGAAUAAUCAUGUCACCCAGCGACUCAAAAUGGCCAUUCGUGCUGAAAAGAAGGCAAUAUCCAUUAUCAGUGUGCUUCGCAAUGACGAUAAACAAGAGCCAAGGUCAGUCCUUAAACAAGGUAGGAAUAUAUUUGCCUAAGCAAGUGUUCCG